AAGAAACAGAAUAGCAGGGGACGAAACAGAGAAGGGAGAAAGGAAGAAAAGAAAAAGGGAACAAUAAGGUUUUAAAGGUUCCAAGUUAAUUUGCUAACAAGGAAAACGAGGCAUCGGCAUCUAAAGGAAAAGAAAAGAUCGUUGAGGAGUUAGCUCGAGGAAAUCGGUUUGUAUUUCUAUAUUCCGAACUCAGUCAUUAUUUGUUAUAUUUAUAUACAUAUGAAAAUUGUUAGUGUUAGAAUUAUAAUGUUUUACAAUUGAUAUGGAUUGAUUUUGGUAUGUGAUGAAUUUAUCAAAUUUAUAUUGAUUGAAAUCAUUUUGAUUGAAUUUAUAUUGAUUGAAAUAUAAUAUAUAUAUAUGAUUUAUGUAAAAAUUUGAAUAUUGAAUGAAUGUUAUAUUGAAAAAUUAUAUUGAUUGGAAAUAUGAGGGAAUUGAUAUGAAUAUAUGAGAUUUGUGAUAAUUGAAUAUUUGAUAUUGAAAAGUGAAUUGAGUUGUAUUGAAUUAUGAAUUAAUGUGAAUAAUUGAAAUAUAUUUGUUGAAUUGAAUGAAAAUGCAUGAUAUUGUGAAAAUGUGUGAAUAUAUGUGAUUAUUAGAAUGGUAUAUUGAUGAAAGAUUUAUUAAAUUGAGAAAGUGAAUCAAAUACCCUAUUAACAGUAUCGGACCAGAUUGGAUACAAAUGGCAUGCCAUUGGAUUUGUGAAGUGAUGAGGAGAUUUGUAGUUUGGCCGAGAAGAUGUUUCUGUUAUUAUAUACUUCGAUUUAUCCGAAGCGGCAUUUAAUGUCAUAUUGGUGUGUUUGGGAGGAUAUGAUAUACUGGUGUGUUAUGGAGGAUUUAUAAUAUUCCGGGUGUGUUUGGGUUGGAUAUUCUGGUCUGUUUGGGAGGAAUUUGCGUAUCUAUCAGAGUCCGAGUCUUGUUAAUAGGGGUAAAUAAGUGAAAAGAUAAAUCGAGUGAAUUUGAUUGAUUGAGCUAUUGGAAUGAAAUGAGAAAUUGAAUUGAGAAUUGAAAUUGAGAUAUGAGAUUGAAAACAUGAACCAAAAGGAUCAUGAAAUGAGUGAAGUUCAAAUGGAUGAUGAUCGAUGUUAGAAUGAAUUAAAAUGGUAUAUUGUUAAGAAGUAAAGUGUGAAUACAAGUGAAUUGUGAAUAUAUUGUAAAGAAUUUAUACGGUAAGCAAAUGAAAAGAAUUGAGCAAAUAUGUUGUUGUGUUUGUUAUAUGGCUUGUAUAGAAUUUUUAUGGUAAGUAAAUGAAACUUAUCUAUAAAAUAAAUAAAUGAAUAGUUAUAUUUGUUAUUGUGAUUUUAAGUUUAAUUGUUAUAUUAUCAAGUGUUCGGAUUAUAGAAAUACCACUGGGUAUACCAUACUCAGCGUACGGUUUGUUUCCGUGCACAGGUUAAGUAAAGAUAGAACGUUGAAUCAGCAUCCCAGGCCGAUCUCGAAUUCAAUGAGGUAAAGUGUGUUAAUUAUGGGUAAUGGCAUGUACCUAGGAUGUCUUAUGUGUGUGUCAUUUUGAAAUUGUAAAUGUAAGGAUGAAAUAAAUAAAUUUAGGUUUGGUUAUGGUAUAAGAUAAGAUUUGAC
rnacentral:lncRNA from 1 species